CUCUUAGCGAAUACCAACACUUUUAUUUAGGUGCUUCCAUAGCUGCAACGGAAAAGUUUUUUGUGACGUGUGCGCCAUUGCGGACCGCAUACGGCGCAUAUUUUGACGGGGGUGGGAAGAAGACGAAAGACGUGUUCGGCGCGUACGGGGCCUGUUUCACCUACGAUAGAAGCCAAAAAGCGUACGCGUGCCAAAACUACGGUUUGGAACACACGUUACAGAUGAAAAAAACUAUGGAUGUUUACACAUACGGCAGUUCUGGUUGGAGUGCCAUAAUAGAUCAAGACAAGAACAAUAUAUUGAUAUCGAAGUCUUUCAACACUCCUGAUAUAUCUUACAGCACUUUGAAUCCAAGUCACAAAUACAAAACUUUAUCAUCAAACCCAUCAGUAGCACUUGAAAAAAAUGAUUUUACAAGUUUUGGGAAAGCGAUGACAUUUGGAAAUUAUUUCGACAAGGAUAAAAACAAGACUUGUUACGCUUUUAGUUUGAGAUAUAUGUCUGGAAAA